rnacentral:rRNA from 1 species
UUGAAAGGGAAACGAUUGAAGUCAGUCGUACCAGCGGGAAAUCAACCUUUCGAGUGGGGGUUUUGGAGUUUUUUGAAGAGUGUCAAAACCUUUGAGAUUUCAAAAUAUUCGCUCUUUUGGUGUACUUUCUCGUGGGUAGGUUAACAUCGAUUUUGAUCAUCAUAAAAAGAUUGGAGGAAUGUAGCUUCGAUCUUGUAUUGAGGUGUUAUAGCCUUUGGUAAAUGUGAUGAUUAGGAUCGAGGAUUGCAACGAAUACCCUUUUGGGCUAUCCGCCUGAUCUCUGAUACGUGGCCUUGGUAUCGAAAGCGUGCUUAUGGUAUUGAGGUAUUACGGUCAAAAGGUUAGAACGGAUACAUCGUUAAGGAUGUUGACGUA